rnacentral:rRNA from 1 species
AGAGAGAGACAUGCGCGCAUAUCAAUAAGCGGAGGAAAAGAAACUAACAAGGAUUCCCCUAGUAACGGCGAGUGAAGCGGGAAGAGCUCAAAUUUGAAAUCUUAAAGGUUUCCCUUGACGAAUUGUAGUUUAAAGAAGUGUUUUCUGUUGGAGUUUUGGUAAAAGUUCUUUGGAAUAGGACAUCAUAGAGGGUGAGAAUCCCGUAUUUGACCUUUACUUUCAACUUUGUGAUACACUUUCAAAGAGUCGGAUUGUUUGGGAAUGCAGUCCAAAAUGGGUGGUAAAUUUCAUCUAAAGCUAAAUAUUGGCGAGAGACCGAUAGCGAACAAGUACCGUGAGGGAAAGAUGAAAAGAACUUUGAAAAGAGAGUUAAACAGUACGUGAAAUUGUCAAAAGGGAAGCGUUUGACACCAGUGUUGUUUUUCUGAAAAUCAAUUAAAGAACUGUUUAUGCUAAGCUGUUUAGACUUUAUCAGCUAACUGUUUAGUUUUGAGCUUUUCUUUAAUGCACUUUUCAGUUAACAAGUCAACAUCAAUUUCUUUUGCUGUAAAAAAGCUUGAGGAAGGUGGCUUGAGAUUCGUCUUAAGUGUUUAUAGCCUCUUGCCUAUGCAGUCGGAGAGAUUGAGGUCUGCAGCGUAGAUCCUUCGGGGCUAAAUGCAUUUGUGCUAAGUUAUAGCAUUUUAUAGACAACUUGUUGACUAUGAUUUGUCUUGUAGCUUACUCGCUUAUGUUAUUUUACCUACGCUUAGGAUGUUGAGCGCAUGUCUCUCUCU